UAAAACACAGUGAUUCUUUGACUCCUGUCUUCAGUGACCCAUGAACAGACCAGACUGGCCAAAAAGGAAGGAAGUGAUUCAUCGGGUCAUCUGGACAAGGACUUCAUUUCCCAAUAUGACAAGUCUUUCAACCCUUGCCCACAGUGAUAGGAGCUUGGAGGUAAUCAACAUCUGUCCCGCUGGUUUCAUCUUGUGUGUAAAUGAGCUACAAUAGCAAAAAUUUCUGUCAUCUUUGUCACUGAUCUGGAAUGAAAGUUACCAGAGAGUCUCUUGAGAAAUGUGGUAGAGGUAAUUGUG
rnacentral:lncRNA from 1 species